GCCCCGCAAGCCGCGGCUUCCAUCCUCUGCCCUCCUUCCAUCUUUCCAUCCUCCGUGGAUCCCCCAUCCUCGCGGAUCCCAGCGCUCCCUCCGCGCCCGCCCGCCGCAUCCCGCAGCCGCCCCGCAUACCCCCGUCCGCCGCCAGAUGCGGAUCCCGCCGCUUCCAGCAUCCAGCCAAGCCCGCGAGCCGCACGCCGCUCCUGCUCCCGCUCCCGCUCCGAGCGCCUCAGGCCAUGUCAGGUGGCGUCGGCCCGACGGCGGGGGAGGCAUCACGCUGCCAUCCAUGGGCGCGCCCGCACCACCACUACCACCUCUUCUCCAUCAAGCAGCUCAGGGGCCUCAGCCUUGGCCUCGACCCGGAUCUCCCCUCAGCCGCAGCCCCCUCCUCCGCCUCCAGUCCCCGCCCAUCUCAAAACCCUAGCAAUCGCGCCUCCACCCCUACCCGAAUCCUAAUCCAGGUUCGAUCCCCCGGUGGCGAGGACACCCGGCGUCGAUUCGUCCCCGCAGAUCGACCGGACAAGCUCCUCCUCGCCAUGGGUGAGUCCGACCUCGAGGCUGCUCCUUGUACUACUCUGCUUCGCCGCCUUCCGCUCGGUUGCCUAGAAGGGUAUCCGCUUCUCUGCUGCCUCUUGCUUGCUGCGCCCGCGUGACCAAGCCGGUGGCCUACCUCCGCUUUGGCCAUGCGCCAUUAGUGUUGAGCCCCUGACUCUUCCCAUCGUCUAUUGUUUGUUGAGAGCAGCUAGCUUCGCACUGGCCCACUGACCUCCACUCCACGGACCCGGCUCCACACGACCUCACUUCCGCCCCUGUUGGCUGCCAAGGGCCAGGCUGUAGCUCCACCGCCCAUUGCCCGCUGUCGAGUGUGUGGGACAUCACCCUAGCAAGCUGCUAUGUCCGCUGUCCAGAACAGGGACAUCACCCUAGCAAGCUGUUCGAUGCAAUGCUGAUCAGAAAUUCUUGUCAUGGAACACAA
rnacentral:lncRNA from 1 species